CGCACGGGUAGCGGCGGCGCUGGACGAAGCUGGCGGGCGUGAGCUGCGCUCGCGGCGGACAAUGCGGCCCGCGCAGAACCUCGCUGCGUGCUUUAACUCUCCGGUGCUGUCCUAGCAAAUUCCAGUGGAGUCCCCAGAUCCCAGUACUCCCAUUGCAGAACCUGCCGCCUUCCCUUCUCUCCGAAGACCCUGGCAGAAGGACCUCCCAGGAUGUGCUGUUUUGUGAAGAAGGAGGUGGUUUGCCUUCCACUGGUCUAAGGCAAGGGCCAGGCCAGCUGCAGGCAGCCCCCUCUUAUACUGUGGUGCCCCUAUGGGCCUGCAGUAGGCAAAUAAUGGGCCCCAGAGAUAACUAGCUUCUAAUCCCUGGAACCUGUGAAUGUUACCUUACAUGGAAAGUCUUUGCAGAUGCGAUUAAAUGAAGGAUUUUGAGAAAGGGAGAUUAUCUUGGAUUGUCAGGGUGGGCCCUAAAUGUAAUGACAAGUGUACUUUUAAGAGAGAGACAGAGGAGAAAAGGAGAGGGCAAUGUGACCACAUUGAGAGAGACUGGAGUAUGUGGCCACGAGACCAGGAAUGCUGGCAGCCAUCAGAUGCUGGAAGAGGCAAGGAACGGAUUCUCCCCUAGAGCCUCUGGAGAGAGCACGGCCCCGCGAACACCUUGAUUUUGGUCCAGUGAUCUUGAAUUUGAACUUCUGGUCUUCUGAACUGUUAGAGAAUAAAUUUCUGUUUCUUUAAGUCA